ensembl:snRNA
GUGUUGCAUGAAAGGAGGGAAGGCUAGCACUCCCCUUGACAAGGAUGGAAGAGGCCCUUGGGCCUGACAACACAGGUAUGGUUAAAACUGGAUCAGAGCAGAGGGGUGAAACUGAUAAGACUUCAUUUGAUU